rnacentral:misc_RNA from 1 species
GAUGAAGAACGUAGCGAAAUGCGAUAAGUAGUGUGAAUUGCAGAAUUCAGUGAAUCAUCGAAUCUUUGAACGCACAUUGCGCCCCUUGGUAUUCCAUGGGGCAUGCCUGUUCGAGCGUCAUUUGUACCUUCAAGCUCUGCUUGGCGUUGGGUGUUUGUCUCGCCUCUGCGCGUAGACUCGCCUCAAAACAAUUGGCAGCCGGCGUAUUGAUUUCGGAGCGCAGUACAUCUCGCGCUUUGCACUCAUAACGACGACGUCCAAAAGUACAUUUUUACACUCUUGACCUCGGAUCAGGUAGGGAUACCCGCUGAACUUAAGCAUAUCAAUAAGCGGAGGA